rnacentral:rRNA from 1 species
UACGAAGGGGGGCUAGCGUUGCUCGGAAUGACUGGGCGUAAAGGGCGCGUAGGCGGCGGUCACAGUCAGAUGUGAAAUUCCUGGGCUUAACCUGGGGGCUGCAUUUGAUACGUGGUUGCUUGAGUGGGGAAGAGGGUCGUGGAAUUCCCAGUGUAGAGGUGAAAUUCGUAGAUAUUGGGGAAGAACACCGGUGGCGAAGGCGGCGACCUGGUCCUUGACUGACGCUGAGGCGCGAAAAGCGUGGGGGAGCAAACAGG